GGCGAACGCUGGCGGCAGGCCUAACACAUGCAAGUCGAACGGAUCCUUCGGGAUUAGUGGCGGACGGGUGAGUAACACGUGGGAACGUGCCCUUUGGUUCGGAACAACUCAGGGAAACUUGAGCUAAUACCGGAUGUGCCCUUCGGGGGAAAGAUUUAUCGCCAUUGGAGCGGCCCGCGUCUGAUUAGCUAGUUGGUGAGGUAAAGGCUCACCAAGGCGACGAUCAGUAGCUGGUCUGAGAGGAUGAUCAGCCACAUUGGGACUGAGACACGGCCCAAACUCCUACGGGAGGCAGCAGUGGGGAAUCUUGCGCAAUGGGCGAAAGCCUGACGCAGCCAUGCCGCGUGAAUGGUGAAGGUCUUAGGAUUGUAAAAUUCUUUCACCGGGGACGAUAAUGACGGUACCCGGAGAAGAAGCCCCGGCUAACUUCGUGCCAGCAGCCGCAGUAACAC
rnacentral:rRNA from 1 species